CUUGACUCAUAAGGUAAAGAAUCUGUCUGCAAAGCAGGAGACCUGGGUUCAAUCCCUGGGUCAGGA
rnacentral:tRNA from 1 species